rnacentral:rRNA from 1 species
GUCUUUGGCUAUACCACCCUGAACAAGCCUGAUAUCUGAGCAGGGUCAGACCUGGUUAGUUCUUAGAUGGGAGACCACCUAGGCAGACCAGGUGCUGUAGGCA